AGGGUUGCGCCUCCUGUAGGUGGUCCUGGACAGGGUUGUGUCCGUUCCACUGGGAACCCAGGGCUCCUCGCCACGCUCCAGUUGGAUGACCACACGAGGUCGAGAGGUGGAGAGUCCUGUGAGGAGGAGGUGCAGAAUCUAAAGAUGGCACAGGGCAAGGGGCUCACAGGAAUAGCUCAUUCAUCGCCAGGGCAGCAACUGUGCCCAGGGCACCAAAGGAAGAGGACUGAGCCAACCAGACUGCAUGUCUAUAGGACCAGACCCCUAUUCCACAUGGCCCCUGGCUGCAAGGUAUGGGCCUGCUCGUCAGCCACCAGGGAGGUGAGGGGGCAGUCCUGGCCAGUCAGCUUGUUAUCAGUUGCCCAUUUCAUGGAGUAUCUAGGACCUUACCCAGCGAGGCCACAAGUGCGAAGUUGUCUAGCAUCACGCGGCGGUACAGGGCCCUCUGGGCUGUGUCCAGGAGCCCCCACUCCUCCUGGGAGAAGUACACAGCCACAUCCUCAAAGGCCAUCUGGUCCUAAAAGAGCAGGGAGGAAGAGACAGCCAUGGUCUAAGUCUGGAUUAUCCAAUCUUUUGGCUUCCCUGGGCCACAUUGGAAGAAUUGUCUUGGGCAACACGUAAAACACAUUAACGCUAAUAACAGCUAAUGAGCUAAAAAAAUAAAAAUUGCAUAAACAUCUUA